rnacentral:ribozyme from 1 species
ACCGCUGCGGGAGUAUGUGAGGAUGCGAAAGAAAGUUGACGGGCCGAUGAUUUGGUUGUUUCUGAUUGGAGUUGUCAUUUAUGGGCUGGUCUCGAAUUUUAUCAUUACGACCUCCUUGGUCAAUACCGAUCCUUUUUCUUCCGCUUUGGAUAAGAAUGACCUGAGAAAUCGUCCCCCUUUUUCGUGGAGACAGUGCUUCGACGGAACUGGUGUGGGCAAGAAACUCCCGGCAAUCAAUGCAACGACAAAACCACCUGGUUGCAAAGAACAUCCUUCCGAGUUGGGUGCCAUACCCGAAGUGAACGACACUUGGAUACCAAAUGUGAAAAUGAUCAGAACAAUGAUGCUGAAUGGAAAAGACAGAAAUGGGAAUAUCUU